CCUACGGGUGGCAGCAGUGGGGAAUAUUGGACAAUGGGCGAAAGCCUGAUCCAGCCAUGCCGCGUGUGUGAAGAAGGCCUUCGGGUUGUAAAGCACUUUCAGUGGGGAAGAAAGCCUUGGGGCUAAUACCCUCGAGGAAGGACAUCACCCACAGAAGAAGCACCGGCUAACUCCGUGCCAGCAGCCGCGGUAAUACGGAGGGUGCGAGCGUUAAUCGGAAUUACUGGGCGUAAAGCGCGCGUAGGCGGUCUGAUAAGCCGGUUGUGAAAGCCCCGGGCUCAACCUGGGAACGGCAUCCGGAACUGUCAGGCUAGAGUGCAGGAGAGGAAGGUAGAAUUCCCGGUGUAGCGGUGAAAUGCGUAGAGAUCGGGAGGAAUACCAGUGGCGAAGGCGGCCUUCUGGACUGACACUGACGCUGAGGUGCGAAAGCGUGGGUAGCAAACAGGAUUAGAACCCGGUAGUC
rnacentral:rRNA from 1 species